UACGUAGGGUGCAAGCGUUGUCCGGAAUUAUUGGGCGUAAAGAGCGUGUAGGCGGCCCGAUUAGUCCGCUGUGAAAGUCCAGGGCUCAACCCUGGAAUGCCGGUGGAUACUGUCGGGCUAGAGUCCGGAAGGGGCGAGUGGAAUUCCUGGUGUAGCGGUGAAAUGCGCAGAUAUCAGGAGGAACACCAAUUGCGAAGGCAGCUCGCUGGGACGUAACUGACGCUGAGACGCGAAAGCGUGGGGAGCAAACAGG
rnacentral:rRNA from 1 species